GAUGAACGCUGGCGGCGUGCCUAAUACAUGCAAGUCGAGCGAACAGACGAGGAGCUUGCUCCUCUGACGUUAGCGGCGGACGGGCGAGUCACACGUGGAUAACCUACCUAUAAGACUGGGAUAACUUCGGGAAACCGGCGCUAAUACCGGAUAAUAUAUUGCACCGCAUGGUUCAAUAGUGAAAGACGGUGUUGCUGUCACGUAUAGAUGGAUCCGCGCCGCAUUAGCUAGUUGGUAAGGUAACGGCUUACCAAGGCGACGAUGCGUAGCCGACCUGAGAGGGUGAUCGGCCACACUGGAACUGAGACACGGUCCAGACUCCUACGGGAGGCAGCAGUAGGGAAUCUUCCGCAAUGGGCGAAAGCCUGACGGAGCAACGCCGCGUGAGUGAUGAAGGUCUUCGGAUCGUAAAACUCUGUUAUUAGGGAAGAACAAAUGUGUAAGUAACUAUGCACGUCUUGACGGUACCUAAUCAGAAAGCCACGGCUAACUACGUG
rnacentral:rRNA from 1 species